rnacentral:rRNA from 1 species
UCCUACGGGGGGCAGCAGUGGGGAAUAUUGCGCAAUGGGGGAAACCCUGACGCAGCGACGCCGCGUGAGCGAUGAAGGCUUUAGGGUCGUAAAGCUCUGUUGUAAGGGAAGAAUGUCGUGGAGGAUAAUACCCUUUACGAAUGACGGUACCUUACGAGUAAGCCCCGGCUAACUACGUGCCAGCAGCCGCGGUAAGACGUAGGGGGCGAGCGUUGUCCGGAAUUACUGGGCGUAAAGAGCACGUAGGCGGAUAUUUAAGUCAGGUGUGAAAGACCGCAGCGCAACUGCGGGGUUGCACCUGAAACUGGGUAUCUUGAGGGCAGGAGAGGACAGUGGAAUUCCAGGUGUAGCGGUGAAAUGCGUAGAAAUCUGGAGGAACACCAGUGGCGAAGGCGACUGUCUGGACUGACCCUGACGCUGAGGUGCGAAAGCGUGGGUAGCAAACAGGAUUAGAUACCCCGGUAGUC